rnacentral:tRNA from 1 species
GCGCCCGUAGCUCAGCAGGAUAGAGCACCAGAUUCCUAAUCUGGGGGUCACAGGUUCGAGUCCUGUCGGGCGCGCCA